GAUGAACGCUGGCGGCGUGCCUAAUACAUGCAAGUCGAGCGAACAGACGAGGAGCUUGCUCCUCUGACGUUAGCGGCGGACGGGUGAGUAACACGUGGAUAACCUACCUAUAAGACUGGGAUAACUUCGGGAAACCGGAGCUAAUACCGGAUAAUAUAUUGAACCGCAUGGUUCAAUAGUGAAAGACGGUUUUGCUGUCACUUAUAGAUGGAUCCGCGCCGCAUUAGCUAGUUGGUAAGGUAACGGCUUACCAAGGCAACGAUGCGUAGCCGACCUGGGAGGGUGAUCGGCCACACUGGAACUGAGACACGGUCCAGACUCCUACGGGAGGCAGCAGUAGGGAAUCUUCCGCAAUGGGCGAAAGCCUGACGGAGCAACGCCGCGUGAGUGAUGAAGGUCUUCGGAUCGUAAAACUCUGUUAUUAGGGAAGAACAAAUGUGUAAGUGACUAUGCACGUCUUGACGGUACCUAAUCAGAAAGCCACGGCUAACUACGUG
rnacentral:rRNA from 1 species